CGCACUUCUCGCCCAUUCCACGUACGCUUACACACCCACCCACACACGCACAGCGGCUUUUCCCUACUGCUUCACUGGUUGCUGUUCGAUUUUGCUCCCUUCCCUCUUCAUCACCCUUGGGCUCCGUCCCGCCUUUCCUGCGCAGCCGAUACCAAGACAGCUCCCUUCACGGGUUCAACCCUGUCAAAAGUGUGGUCAUUCGCCUAUCCUCCCCACAUUCAUCAGUGACACCGCAGGCGCGAAGCCAGUGCUCCGCGUGUACAUUCUUUCUCUGUGUGUAGUGCCAUCACGAACGUGCUGCUCCUCUGCUCAGCAUGAACCUCCGCAAUCCACACCUGCCACCGAUUGUGGCUGGCGUCUUAUACGGGUUGUCUCUCAUCCUCUUCAUCGAUGGCAUCGUUCUUGCCCAGCAGGAGGCCAACAAAGCGAAUCGUUUCUCCUUUUUGCACUGUGUCCCUGCCAUCUUCUCCACCGUGGGUCUCCUUCUUCUCCACCUCGUGUCGCCGUCUGAGGUCAAAGAGGGCGAUGGGCGCGGCCGCGUGCUGCUCUUCAUGUCAUGGCUCGCCAUGAUUGGGUCUAGCGUUGGCGCCCUCGUCAUUCUCUUCUUCUGCUAUACAGGCAAGCAAACACGCACUCGCGCCAUGCCAGGAGUGUCGCUCGUGCUGUACACGUGCACAGCGCCCAUUAUCACGUCUGUGCUGUGGUGGGGCCGCCGCGUAGUCGACAGUGACGAAUGGUGAUAGACGUCAGAGCAACCAUGAAAGCCUGCGCUCUGCCACAGGCCCCGUGACGGGAUAGGGUGCAGAACGCCGACACACAUACCCAGGCCCAUAGGAGGUGCUCCACGAAGCGGUAGGGCUACGUGCCAUCCUCGCUCACUCAUUUCUCUAGCGUCCAAAAGACGGGGUGGCCCAACCGUGCGCAGGCCUCACAAACUCGCCCACAGACCCUCUCACUUUCUCUCUGUAUGCGCCUGCCUGUGCAUCCGUGCGAACCUCGCUGCGAGUGGGCGGUUGCCGCACAACGAAAGCAAGAGCUUCACCGUCCUCUUUAGCUGUGGUGCUCCGCCGAAUAACGGAAGGCGCCCAUCUCACCUUGUGUGCUUGCUGUUGCCGCGCGCGCCGGCUCUUUCUUUCAAGUUUGUCAUCUUCCGUUCUUUUGCCUUCCCUUCGUUGCUUGCGUGCUUGGUGUUUUCCCUUCGACUGUGUGUCUGUGUAUGGAAGCGUGCAUGCUACUCUGCCGCCUCCCCUUGCGAAGCUCUGUGGACGUCUGCGGCUUCAUCUCCGUUUGCUCUCCUCCAUGGAGCGGAGAGAGGCGCGGGGACGGUGAAGGAGACGCAAGCGGCGCUGAGCGUCUGACGGUCCUUCUCCCUCUUCUCUCUCUUUCUUCCCCCAUGCAGCUUCGCGCCUGCGCAUAGACACUCCGGGGUCUCCCAGCGCACACGCACGACAUGACGCAUCGCACACCCGUUCCAAGGUGGGCCUUUUCGUUUUCUUCCCUCCCUUCUCUUUGCUUCUUUACCUUUACCACUACACUCAUUCUUCGCUCUCUUUCUCUGCAUGCAG
rnacentral:misc_RNA from 1 species